rnacentral:lncRNA from 1 species
CGACCGCGCGUCCUCCUCCUCCUCCGGGAGCGCCUCGCGGCGCAGGAAGUCCUCCACGGCCUCGGCGACCGCGUGGCGGACCUCGGCGAGGCUGGCGUACGAGGCCGGGACCGCGAGCAGCCACGCGGAGUCGGCGAAGUUGAGGCACGCGCCCGCGCCGGCGAUGGCGAGCAUGGCGGCGUCGUGCGCCCGCGCGGCGCCCUCGGCGGUGUCGAACGUGCCGAGCCAGAGCCUGCAGCCGCGCCUCCCCGGCACGCGCACCUCGCACACCCACCGCCCGGCGUUGCCCCGGCGCCGGACGCCGCGGAACACGGGGUGCCGCGUCUCCCGGAACUUGGUCCGCCCCGCCGGCCGCUUCGGCGGCGACGUCCACACAGUCUGGUGGUGCUCCGACGAGGUCGAGGUCGAGGCCGAUGCCCAGCUGCACGGCGAGGUUGACUCGGCGCUCAUCUCCUUCUUGAUCGGACACAUCUUCUUCUUAUCAGCUCUCGGUUGCUUAGCUUGAAGAUCUUUGGUCGUUCUGACUGAGUUGGGUCUCGAGUGGGUUUGGGAUGCGAAUGGCGGAUUUGCGGGCGCAUAUUUAUAGGUGGUGGCUGGAUGGAGCACAGAGUGCAAAGCGCGGGAAGAAGGGAGCCAGUCCAGUGGACGAGCACACAGCUGGAGAAUGAAAGCAGAGGAAGGGGGGACGCAUCUGGGUAAGGCCGGGAAUGCAACUUGCAAGGCAACUGUGAGAGGCUUCGAGGGUGGCCUGAUAUUUUCUUUCUUUAUUAUUGGGGUAGUACCACCACUGGACUUCUUUGGCUUCCGCCUUCCGUGGUCGGUUUCAGUCUCUGCUUACCUGCAUCAGUGCAUCCUGAAUACCGCAGCUGUUUGUGGCCUUGGUUAAUGCCGUUGGUACAGAGAAAAUAAGAGGCUGUUGCAAUUUGCAAUUCUGCCAGUUCAGAUUUUGGGUACGGUGAGGAUGAAGCUUUGUCUUGGCUUUAGCCCAUUUUAACAGAUAAUUAACUGCAAAUAAUUAAAGUUGUCAAAUUUGUAGCUUAUCCAGUCAGAUUCUCUCGACAACAACAGAUUCCUAAAAAAUCCAGAUUCUCACACAAUCGAUUCCCAGUUAAGCUCAAAUAAACAUGAUGUUUUAUCUAUUCGCAGACGACCGAGCUUUUUAUCUAUUCACAGACGUCGGGAGGCCUAGAUGAUGGGGACGAAGAAUACUCUUGCUUAGCAUCUGCUCACUCGUGAUAUUUUUUUAAUCUCUGGGCGGUAAUUCUGCGUGUGAGCCAGCGAGAAGUGGAAGGCGCAAAGGGGACGGUAAAUCCGUGUUUCUUUAUCCCGAUAUUUGAACGAUCGAGUGAACUUUCGGGCCUUGUUUAGUUGGUCAAAUUGGAAGGUGCCAAAUUACUGUGCUGGCACUGUAGCACACUGUAGCGUUUCGUUUGUAUUUGUGAAUUAUUGUCCAAACAUUGACUAAUUAGGUUCAAAAGAUUCGUCUCGCAAAGUACAACAAAACUGUGCAAUUAGUUUUUAAUUUCAUCUACAUUUAGUACUUCAUGCAUGUACCGCAAGUUUGAUGUGAUGGGGAAUUUUCUUUUUGCAUAGUACCAAAGUUAGGAGUUGGGGGUGAAGUAAACAAGGGCUCGAUCCGAGAUGAUCUUCUAGUACUGGAUCAGUAGAUAUUUCUUGUCUGCUAAAGACAAGACUGUUUCCUCAACUCCGCACGGUACCAAUGUACCAUGGUACUAUUCGACUACUACUGUUUGCAAACCUUAUCUUAAAAAAAAAGCAAAAAAAGAAAAAUCUGCUAACAAGGGUAGAAUCUGUUGGUCUUUAGGCUAAUCCCAGUGGGGGUUUUAUAGAGGUUUCAUGCACAUUAAAUACAGUGACACAUCAGCAUAUGUGAUGACAUGGCAUGAUAGUUAUGAAGCGAGAGAAGGAAGGAGUUUCAUCAGGAUGAAACUGUGUAUACACUGUUUCCAAGCGUAUGAAACUUUCAUUGGGGGCUAUAGAGUUUGAUUUCAUCUAACCAUAUCCAAUCACAUGCCUCACAAUUAAAUGUCACGGUCAUCCUAUGAAAUCGUGAAAUAAAACUAUGUAUGGGACUCUCUGUUUCAUUCAUGAGAAUACAUCUCAUGGGAUGACGUGAUAUCCUUAUAAACAGUGCGAUGAAACUUUGGGACUAGCCUUACGAAUCAAGUGCAUUGAUACGGCAGAUCUACACAUACAAUUGGUGCUGCUGCUGAUUCCUUCGUCCAUGCUUUGGCGUGCUGCAUCAUUGCUGACACAGUACUCCUCAGUUUGACUGUCAACCGAGCAUGGUAGGAGUAGGACCGGGGGGUCUCUCGGUCUCUCGCUUCGCCUGAGGAAAACAAACUACUUUGACUAACCCCAUCGCUGCAAUUCAGCAACAAAAAUCAGCGGCUGCCGGCAGACUAGCUCCGGGCUCCGGCCUCCUCCCAAGUCAAUUUUUUCUCGGUCAGACUUGAGUGCCUCUUGGCGUUGCGCUUCAGGAAAUGCAGACGUCAACGGUGACGGCCGGAGGCUGAUCCGGAGCGCGCGUCACGCUCACGCCUUGCAGGUUGCAUCGAGGCAUCGAGCGAUCCUUCGCCUGCCUCGCAUAUGGUUGCCAUAGCGGCGGCACGGCAAUGCGAGAUUAUAUAUUGCGAGGCUGCGAGCCAGGAAGCCCCCGUCAGUGCGGCGAGCGGUGUGGCCGUGUGGGGGACUAUUGCCAUCCUUGCCGUUAGCAAGCAGAGUGACGAUUUGUUAGUGAGGCGCAAGCACGAGGUCAACCACUAGUGUAAGCUCAAUUUUCCAUUUCUUGCUACUUUUAGCAAAUCUGUUUUCCCAAGUUGCUCUGCCUCACUUCCAAAUGUAGUAAACCGUCACAGUACCAAAAUUUGGCUUCGGACCUUCGGAGUCCAAGGAAAAGAAAAAGGCGAAAACUGAACUACAGCGACCUCGGCUCUAUGCUCUAAUAGCUCCAGAGCGGCACAUCGGCCACGGCCUCGUCGCAGAACGCCGCGACUGUGCACGGUGGUUCCAUGAGCAUCGCCUGCGCCAAGCUCGCGUAGUACAAGUCUGAGCUCAUGUCACCGAACGCGUCCAGCUCGAACGGCGAGUCGUCGGUGGCCGGCGAGGUCUCCUCGCUGUCGGUGCAGCUGCAUUCGUCAUUCGCGACGGAGGACGGCGUCGACGACGUGGCCGAGCGCGCGUCCUCCUCCUCAGGGAGCACCUUGCGGCGCUGGAAGUCCUCCACGGCCUCGGCGACAGCGUGGCGGAUCUCGGCGAGGCUGGCGUACGAGGCCGGGACCGCGAGCAGCCACGCCGAGUCCGCGAAGUUGAGGCAGGCGCCCGCGCCGGCGAUGGCGAGCAUGGCGGCAUCGUGCGCGCGCGCCGCGGCCUCGGCGGUGUCGAAUGUGCCGAGCCAGAGCCUGCAGCCGCGGCGACCGGGCACGCGCACCUCGCACACCCACCGCCCGGCGUUGCCUCGGCGCCGGACGCCGCGGAACACGGGGUGCCGCGUCUCCCGGAACUUGGUCCGCCCCGCCGGCCGCUUCGGCGGCGACGUCCACACCGUCUGGUGGUGCUCCGAGGAGGUCGAGGCCGAAGCCCAGCUGCACGCGGAGCCUGACGACUCGGCGCUCAUCUCCUUCUUGAUCUGACACAUCUUGUUCUGAAUCGGCUGCCGAACGAUUGCUUAGCUCUGGAGUAGUGAGUGGAGUGCCUUCGCUGCUGCUUGAAUUGUGUUGGAGUGGUUUUGCGAUGGGGAAUGGCGGAUUUGCGGGCACAUAUUUAUAGGUGGUGGGCGGCGAUGCAGGGGAUAAAACGCGGGAAGGGAACCCAGUGGGCGAGCGCACAGCUGGAGAUGGAGAAGGAAAGAUCACAAAGGGGGGACGCAUCUGGGUAAGGCCGAGGACGCAACUUGCAAGCAGCAUGUAACAUCGGGGACUUCACUUUGAGAGUGACCUGAUAUUUUCGCAGAUAGGAACUCCAGCAAUACCCUCGAAUCAAAGCACCUAAAGAUGUUCUCUAUAUUUUUAAUAUUUCUAAGGUUACAAAAAUAUUUCCCACUUCAGCAAUAGCUCCAUAGAUGGAGGGCUCUCUAUUAACCUCAGGAAUAGAGAAUGGAGGGGAAAUUUGAAGGCCUCUCUAAAAUAAGGAGUCAAGUAGAGGAUCUGUUGAAGUGUGUUUCUUUGACUUAGCUCUCUAAACUAAGGGGGCGUUUGGAUGUCAGGGGCUAAACUUUAGCCCUGUCACAUCACACGUUCAGAUGCUAAUUAGGAGGACUAAAUAUGAGCUAAUUAAAAAACCAAUAGCAGAACCCAUAGGCUAAAUCGCGAGACGAAUCUAUUAAGCCUAAUUAAUCCAUCAUUAGCGAAUGGUUACUGUAGCACCACAUUGUCAAAUCAUGGACUAAUUAGGCUUAAUAGAUUCGUCUCGCGAUUUAGCCUAGGGGUUGUGCAAUUAGUUUUGUAAUUAGACUAUGUUUAAUACUCCUAAUUAGUGUCCAAACAUCCGAUGUGACAGGGGCUAAAAUUUAGCCCCUCCCUGCCAAACACCCCCUUAGAGUAGGGGGCUGUUUAGAGAGUCCGCUAGAUUAUUUUCUAUUUAUUUAUUGGGGUAGUAUGACUACAACACUGCUUUUGCUUCCGUUACCGGUUUCCGUCUCCCGUCAUGGAGCCACUUCUGGACUUGUCAAAUGCCACUCCUCUUCUCCUUUUUAUGUUCGAAUAAAGACUGUCACGCUUGUUCGCCGAUUAAGGAAGAGAAAAUUGCUGCAGUUUUCAGCCUCGAUAGUCGGUGGAGAGUACAUCAAGAAAAGUUGAUAUUUGUCCUCAAUCAAUCAUGAUUCAGUAUCCCCUGAAGAGAAAUCUUUACUGUGUUUCUCAACAAGGAAUUGGAAUUAUUCGGAUUCCGUUUCUAGGUAUACAGUGCCCAUUAGGAAUUCAAAAGGUCAAACUUUUUAAAUUUAAACUAAAAAUUAGUCAAAUUGUAAGUAUAUAAAAGUUGUAUCACUAAAUUCACAUUUCACAUGCCUCUCAAUUCAAAUUGACUUUAUUACAAUCGGUAAUGCAGAGUAUAUUGUAAGAGUGAUCGAUGAUCAAAGCAUCCUUUUAAAAAUUUCCGUAAAUUAUAAUAUGCCUUAUUACAAAUAAAUGGAGGGUAUUGCGUAUGUAGUAUGGUGGAUGGUCGUUCUAGUGAUUCACGAUGUUUACAUUGCUAGCUGUAGGGUAAAUUAUUUGCGAAACGUAGCCAGCCAUACUAGUUCUGGUGGAUCGUAAAAUCCUCGCUUAGAGCAUCUCUAGCAGUCUUCCAAUAAAUAUUUUCUAAUAAAGAGAUAUCCCAAUAUCACUUUUGCCGUUAUUAGGAGAGUUCCCAAUAAUCUCAUCCCAAUUCCUCCUUUAUUUAGAGAGAGUGGGGAUGAAUUAUCCUAAUAAUUAUUAGGAAAAGGGAAGGUUAAAAGAGAACUAUUUUUUAUCAACUCUCUUGAAUUGGAAAAUAAAUACUGGUGGAGGUGCUCUGCCUCUCCGAGAGAAAAGUCUUUCUUCUUGACGCCAACUCCAAACCCACCGGAGGCCUCGCGAGUUGCGACCCACCAAGCCGAUGGGCGAUGGCGACGUGAGCCGCGAUACCGGAACCACCCACACGUCCGCCAUCACCCCGGUAUCACAAAAAUCCGGCGGGAGCAGCAGCCGGGAUUCCGGGAAGCUCCCGCACCUGAUCCGCGUGCGGUGAGUGCGUCGCCGCCGUCCCGAUCCCUCCCUCUUGCCAGACCAGUUGCCACUUCUGCCCAAGCGAAAACGGCCACUUGCGGCUUGACCGAGUUCCCGGGCCAGGGGACAAGACGAGACGCCUCUUUCUGUGCUUCCGGCUCGCUCGUUCAACAGCGAGUACCCCUUGCCCAACUUGUGGGAGGCGCCUCCCCGUCGCAACCACCCAUGCCGUCGUCGAUCGCGUCACGGGCCAAAAAGAAAGUCGCAGGCUUAAUGCCUUAAUCAAAGCGAAAAGGCGCCAUGCGCGCCCGGUGACGCGACGCGACGGCCAGCCGAGACCAGCUGCGCCCUCUGUUGCUUGCUCGGGUCGGUUCCGCUCGUGGUUAAAGGGGGGAGAGAAUUAUUUUAGUCUCCUUUUCAAAAAAAAUUAUUUUAGUCCAGUUGCCGCUUGGGGCGGCCGGGGGGCGCCUAUGCGCGGCCGCGACCCGCGAGGGCGCAGCGACGGCGACGUCGCGGGAGCUGCGGACGCAGCAGCGGCGACGCGCGCGGGUCUGAGCUUAUCCACCCGCGCCGCGCACACGCGCUUCUCGCAUCGGCCUGUGGAUAAUAACGGUGGAAUUCCGGGUCAGUUCCAGCUGCUGCUGAUGAUGAUGCUGACGGUCUUCGACGACUGGAAGAAUACUUGGCCCGUGGUUUCUUAAUCAGUUAAUCUGCGGGUGCAGAACUGCAUAUCCCAGCUGCUGCAAGGUGCCAAGGGUGUGUUACCAUCGCACUGCCUCGUAUUUCUUUUCUGGAAAACAGCAGGAGCACUGCUAAUUCAUUUAAUAAGAAGAGAAAUCCAGGUUACAAUGAGUGAUUGAUAUUUUCUCAGAUCUUUUUUGAGUGAUGAUCAGAGGUUGCUGAUAGAGACCAGACCACUGCAGAAGAAACGUGCGGUGCUGAAACUGAACACUGUCCGGAACGCGACAAAAAAGAAUAUCAACAGACGCAUAAGCUGUGACUAGGGAUGUUACAGCUGCGCCGAUCGACUCUCUGAUUGUUAUGCUGUGAAUUUUGGCAAACCUUCAAGUCACAGUCACUCUCAUACUGGACAUCGACGGCGCAUACAAAUGAAUGAACAUGCGACUUCAGGAAACCUUUCUAUCGGAGAACAGAACACAGCGGACAUUCAUUUUUGCGUGCUGAAAUUUCUUUUUUUUUUUCAGAACAAAAAACCCCGCAUAUGCAGGUAUCACUGUCAACUGUUGACGUGGCAAUUUGCAUAUCAAACUGUAUGUAGGUACUAGAGGUAGCAUCAGUUCUGAGUGCUGACAUGCGAAUGUUCUGACUGACUGUCAACGAAGCAUGGGCGAGGCCGCCCCUGUUUCCCAUUGUAUGGUUGUAUAUGCAGGCGGAUUUCUCAGGUGACCUUAGCCUGUGGCAUACAAAAAUGCACUAUCUUGUGGAUUUUGCGUUAACAAAGCGUGGAAAUUCAAUUAUUCAACAAGUGCAUAGCGUGGUAUGUGAGGCGUUGACAAAUUGAGGGUCAACCACUAAUUUAAUUUGAAUAUUUUUUUGCUAGUCUUAGAAAAUCGAGUGGGCAUGCUCAAUUUGGCUCUGUUUUCUCAACAUGCUCCGUCCCAUUGCCAAAAGAAGUAACCUUUACAGCAAAAGAAAUGGCGCAGAGGCCAAGUGGAAGAAAAAGGACAUCGGUUCUAGUAGCUCCAGAGUGGCGCAUCGACGAUGUUGGCGUCGCCGAACUCCAUGACCGCGGGCGGCGGCUCCAUGAGCAUUCCCUGCGCCAAGCUCGCGUAGUACAAGUCCCAGCUCAUGUCGUUGAACACGUCCAGUUCGAACGCCGAGACCCCGGCGGCCGGAGAGGAGUCUGAGGACUCCUCGCCGUCCGUGGCGCUGCCGUCGUCGCUGGCAGGGGACGAUGGCGUCGAGGUCGACGCCGAGAGCGCGUCGUCCUCUGGGGCGGCCUCGCGGCGCAGGAAGUCCUCCACGGCCUCGGCGACCGCGUGGCGCACCUCGGCGAGGCUGGCGUAGGAGGCCGGCACGGCGAGCAGCCACGCCGAGUCGGCGAAGUUGAGGCACGCGCCCGCGCCGGCGAUGGCGAGCAUGGCGGCGUCGUGCGCGCGCGCGGCCCCCUCCGCGGGUGUCGAAGGUGCCGAGCCAGAGCCUGCAGCCGCGCCGGCCGGGCACGCGCACCUCGCACACCCAGCGCCCGGCGUUGCCACGGCGCCGGACGCCGCGGAACACGGGGUGCCGCGUCUCCCG